rnacentral:rRNA from 1 species
CCAGUAGUCAUAUGCUUGUCUUAAAGAUUAAGCCAUGCAUGUCUAAGUAUAAACACUUGUACUGUGAAACUGCGAAUGGCUCAUUAUAUCAGUUAUAAUUUAUUUGAUGGUCAUUUACUUGGAUAACCGUGGUAAAUCUAGAGCUAAUACAUGCAUAAAAUCCUGACUAGUAAUGGAAAGGAUGUAUUUAUUAGAUACAAAAACCAAUGCAUUAAAUUGUCAAAGAUUUAAUGGAAAAACAAUGGUGAUUCAUGAUAACUUUACGAAUCGUAUAGUCUUGUACUGACGAUAGUUCAUUCAAAUUUCUGCCCUAUCAACUUUCGAUGGUAGUAUAGAGGACUACCAUGGUGGUAACGGGUAACGGAGAAUCAGGGUUUGAUUCCGGAGAAGGAGCCUGAGAAACGGCUACUACUUCCAAGGAAGGCAGCAGGCGCGCAAAUUACCCAAUCCCGACAUGGGGAGGUAGUGACAAAAAAUAACAAUACCGGUCUUUUAUAAGUCUGGUAAUUGGAAUGAGUACAAUCUAAACCCCUUAACGAGUAUCAAUUGGAGGGCAAGUCUGGUGCCAGCAGCCGCGGUAAUUCCAGCUCCAAUAGCAUAUAUUAAAGUUGUUGCAGUUAAAAAGCUCGUAGUUGGAUUUAAGAGUUUAUUAAUAAGGUUUACUUAAAAGAGUAUAAUUUUAUUAAUAACUCUCCUUACUAGAUAUUCACAAUUAUUUUUAAUUAAAUAGUUGGUUUUAUUCGAAAGGGUAAAAUGCUUAAUAGGUCUGGGAAUUAAGAUGUGGUUUAUUUACGAGGCAACUUGUUGAAUAAAUCUGCUUAAUUAACUUCUAUUAAGUAGAAUUCUAGUUCAUUUACUUUGAGUAAAUUAGAGUGUUCAAAGCAAACGUUNAAUUUUGUAAUGAAUAUUAUUANCAUGGGAUAAUGGAACAGGACGUUGGUUCUAUUUUAUUGGUUUUUAGAACUAAUGUAAUGAUUAAAAGGGAUAGUUGGGGGCAUUAGUAUUUAAUUGUCAGAGGUGAAAUUCUUGGAUUUAUGAAAGACUAACUUNUGCGAAAGCAUUUGUCAAAGAUGUUUUCAUUAAUCAAGAACGAAAGUUAGGGGAUCGAAGACGAUCAGAUACCGUCGUAGUCUUAACUAUAAACUAUGCCGACCAGGGAUUGGAAGAUGUUAAUUUUAAAAAAUAAGACUCCUUCAGCACCUUUUGAGAAAUCANAAGUUUUUGGGUUCUGGGGGGAGUAUGGUCGCAAGGCUGAAACUUAAAGGAAUUGACGGAAGGGCACCACCAGGAGUGGAGCCUGCGGCUUAAUUUGACUCAACACGGGAAAACUUACCAGGUCCAGACACAGUUAGGAUUGACAGAUUGAGAGCUCUUUCUUGAUUCUGUGGGUGGUGGUGCAUGGCCGUUCUUAGUUGGUGGAGUGAUUUGUCUGGUUAAUUCCGAUAACGAACGAGACCUCAGCCUGCUAAUUAGUUAUAUAAAUUAUAACAAUAUAAGGGUUUAUUAAAAAGCAUUGUAGCAAUAUAAUGAUUUUUAAUAAAAACUUGUUUUAAUUUAUAGAAACUUCUUAGAGGGACACUUGGUGUUUAACCAAGGGAAGUUUGAGGCAAUAACAGGUCUGUGAUGCCCUUUAGAUGUUCUGGGCUGCACGCGCGCUACACUGAUAUAAUCAACAAGUAUCAAAAACCUUUGCAGAAAUGUAUGGGUAAACUUAUGAAAUUAUAUCGUGCUGGGGAUCGAUAAUUGUAAUUAUUUAUCGUCAACGAGGAAUUCCUAGUAAGCGCAAGUCAUCAGCUUGCGUUGAUUACGUCCCUGCCCUUUGUACACACCGCCCGUCGCUCCUACCGAUGAAUGGUCCGGUGAAAUCUUAAGAUUGANAACAGAUACUUAUUGAUUUCGGUUAAUAAGUUUGUUUUUAANAAUUUGAGUAAACCUUGCCAUUUAGAGGAAGGAGAAGUCGUAACAAGGUAUCCGUAGGUGAACCU